rnacentral:lncRNA from 1 species
CUUAAAUACCACCCUCAAAAUAUGGAUUAUCCUUGCACAAACUUGUCUAUUCGGCCCAGUUGGAAAAGCCCAUCAUAGCAGUGAGUUCUGGCCAACUUUCGAAGAACAACAUGUGAGUCAAUAAUCUCAGUUUUCGGAUUUCAGGGUAGAAAGUGGGAAAAUCGGAGCCGGAGACGGAGAAUAGAAGGAAGAGAGAGCAAUGAAAUCGCCGAGAUGGGGAUAUGUUAGAAUUAUAUCAGGAACUAUUUUUGGAGGCAUUUUUGGAUUCUAUCUUAUGCAUCGCGCUGAACUUCAGUACAAGGAAAUGUGGAACGAGAGAUUGAAGAAGUAUGAGGAGGAGCUCAAAAUGAAGCAAAGUAUGGAGACGCAUACCCCCACUGAGUUGUCAGGAGAUCAUCUUGCGAGAUAGGUACUUUUGAACACCGACCUGCUAAUCUCUUUACUUACUGUAGUUUAUAGAUUGGAUAAGGUUUGAGAUGUUCAGUUUCUUAUGUAUCUUGUGGAUUAUAAUUUGAAAAUUCGAAUCCAGACUGGACACUCCAAUAACACUGAAUAAUUCGGUAUGAAAUUGCAGUCCAGGAAUUCAGGCUGACGUUCUCUGUGAAGCUUAUGUCUUGUUGAUAAUAAUUUAUGUUUAUGCUCUGAAGUACAAUGGGUUUAGUAGAUAUCUGACUGGGGGGUCAUAGAACACGAGGGUCUUAUUUAGGACUUGUUCAUGCUAAAAUGUAAUAUAUUGUUAAGUUAGACAAUUGUGAAUUAUGAAUUAUGAAUUUUGAGUCAUGGAUGCUUAAUUGCCUUUAAUCUGAAAUUACUUUCUUAGAUCAGGUUAAUCAAUAUUGUAAUAUAUUAUUUCUAGUUUUCUACAUAAAAAUAUGGUAUAUGGGUAAAAAAAAAAAUGGUUGCUCAAGCGCCUAGUGACCUCCACCAUACCCUACUGUGCAAAAGACCAAAGAAGGCAGGAGAUGAGGUGUAGACUCAUAUUUAUCCAAGUAAACAAUUUCUCUGUGUUUUCUUUUGGAGUGACAAUUCCUAUAGAAUAUGAUAUGUCCAAUCUGUACAAGUUGGUUUGGUUAAUGCCUAAUGGAGUUUUCAGGGAAGUGCGAAGUGGAACAAAGUGACAAGGCUUGCGUCACUUAAGCCAUGAAACCUAAAGCAAAGCACUCGCUUCAUUGAGUAAAUUGACCAUUAGAAAGGCAUCAAGCAGAGGCAAGGUUGUAAUCGAGAAAAAAAAAUUUAGUAGCUUCAGAACAUAGCUAUGUGAAGACUGAAGCUAUAGUAAUAAGCAAAAACCUGUGGAAAUAUUCAAACGAAAGCUGUCUUGGAACUCUUCUAUAUAAGAAUCAAGGAGCUAACGAAAACCAUAAAGCUAUCAACAUUGCUUACAGGGAAGUGGUAAUGCAAACUAAAUAAGCUAACUAAGCAAAUAGCCUUCAAAGAACUGUUGGGGGUUGAGUUCCCAUCAAAACAUCUGUCGUUUCAUUCUUCUCAAAUACACCAAAAGAUAGCUGCUGGGAUCAUAUUCUUCAUUCUUUUCAUGGAUAUGUCAACUCUUCAUGAUAUUAAGUUUUCAAAGGCAUCUUUAUCAGGGAAAGGCAUAACUCAUUUGAGACAAACAUUGAAAAGAAGAAGUGCCAAACAUCAGCUGUCAAUGGGCAGUGCAAAAGGAGGUGAUUCACAGUUUCAUUGGUUUUUCGUAUACAUAGCAUCUGUUGGAAAGAAUGAUGCGUCUCUUUCUGAGAUUAUCGUGGGUCAGGCAGACACCUUUUAGCAGUCCAGGUAAAACAACUGACUGUAUGAGGUUUCAAGUUUUCCAAACAUGUUUCCAGGGUCACUCAUCAAGAUCAAGCAUACCAUUCACAGAACAUCCCAGUUUAUUGCAUCCUUUCACAGUGUUAUCACCCUUCUUUAGUUGCCCCAAAAUUUAAGUUGGGUGUAUGAAAAUUUAAAACUAAUUUAAGUUUAUACAUAAGUAAUUUUUUUUUAAAAAAAAUGGUAAGAUUAAGUUAUAUAUUAGUAAUUAUUCAUGUUCCCUAGAUAACAGGUUUUAAACCACCUUAUCCCUACACUAGAAGCUUCCGUUAUGUCACGAAAAUCAAACAUUCUAUGUAUACACAAAAAUUAUACAUAUAUUAUUUAUUAAUAGGAAUUAGGAUUCCCCUUCAUGCGAGCUGGCUCCUUCCCUGCUUGCAACAGUUCCAUAUCAAUGUCUCCAAAAUCUGCAGAAAAUCGCAGCUCCUAUUUAGAGACACAUUUCAGUGUUCCAAUAGUUAUUUGCUAAAGUCCUGCUGCAUUUUGAAAUUUUGGCCAAGAGGUCUUUCCUCAGAACUGAAGUGAUUAAUCAAUAGCAAGAACAAGACUACUGUACUUAUGAUCCAACAAUAAUUUUAGAGGGAGAAGGUUUUCCUUCUUGUAUUGUACACUUGCACCUUGCUUCUUAAUUUUUUCAUCAGUUUACACUACAUACUUUAUUCAUGCAAUUUUCAAUACCUUUGUUUGUCCAAUUCGUUAUGAUUGUUUUUCCUCUGCUGCUGAGUCCAUUGCACUUGCAUCAGUGUUAUAUAAACUUUUUGGUUCUAAACUCUAGUGAUCAGCCCUAUCACUUAAUAUCAUUAUUUCUAGUCCUGAAUCUAUAGAUGGAGAAUGUUGAGGCCAACCCUUAGUCAACCAAACAAACUUAAAUUCACAUUGGCAAUCCCUUCUAUCCUAUCUAAUAUAUUAAUAUUAUCCAACCCAUAUACAUAAAACAAAGAUUUAGGGGCAUAUUGAUUUGCUGGAUUCUCGAUCUUUUCCUCUCCCGGUCGCUAAGUUUCUCUUUUUCACUCUUUUCUUUUUCUUUUGUACAGAUUAUUUACCACCCUAAUUAUUAUACAUGAUUAAUUAUAGAAUUGGUGAAAGCAGUCCACUACUAAUUUCUAUGCUAUUUUCUUUAACCACCAACUAAAAUAUAGUUACGAAUAGUCCAAAAUACCCAUUUAGAAUAUAUCGGAAGUCAUUUAGGAAAUAAGAAGCUCUAGUACUCAAAACAACCUAAUGGGUCGUUACAGAGUCGGUUAGCUUUCUAACAUCACCACCACAUUCUGUGUUAAAAGGCCAAAGUUCGAAGUAAGAACUACUCUCCUUGCGCCGUUCAUUCUAAUUCUUUCUUGAGCUACAAUGAGAUCUCUCUAGUAAGUCUUAAGAAGACUUUCCUCUUCCUUCCUUUCAAUGAUUGUGCUCUAUUUGUCUAAACUAAAAGUCUUUUUUCCCUGCUGUGUUGCCAUUGAAACUCUCUCACUUUAUCAAUCUUCUAUCCCAUUUAAAAGGGGCAUAAUUAAAGGCAUGGUGUAGGGGGGAAAAGGCACUGCCUAGUGAAAUGGAACUAAUACCUUUUCCAAAAAAAAAUCGAGGGUCUUUCUUUUCUUGUGUAUAAAUAUUUCUUUUUAAAAACUCAUUUUAAAUUUUACCAUUAUCGAAACUCGAGAUAUAUUUUUAGAGGCAUUUACUUAAAAGAGUGUUUAGGGAAAAUACUUGCAGAAGAAUUGAAAAUAACAUGUAGUAUCCACCUAAGAAUGAUGUUGAAUAUUACAUGAUUGUUCAGUUCCCACUGUGUUUACACUUGUCGGGUAAACUAAGCUUGUUUAGGUGAUCGGAACUCUAGUAGUAGGAUAUUUGAUGUCAAAUCUUGUUCACAGCUCAUCAGAUUUUAAGAGCGGAUAUUACCAAAUACUAGACAAAAUUCUCUUUAUCGUGUAGCUAUAGAUGUCUACGGGGAAGCUUAUUGGUAGCAAAAGACAAUGUGAUUCUCCGAUGUGCUCUAUUUGGUUUUUCCUUGCCAAUUACAAAUCUAUAUAAUCGCCUGGAUUCAUGAAUUAUUAUGGAAGAUCUUGCUUUAGAAUGCAAUUCAUUGAUAUAGAUGGAUGACUGUUGUCUCUGUGCUAUGUGCAGACUCCCCUUGUUGUUGUGUGAUGCCAUCUGAGAGCAAAAAAACAUGGUUGUUAAAGUGUACCUACCGAUGUGUUUGUUAUUAUAAAAACUGUGAGGACAAGCAUCUUAUCGAGAAAUGGAAGUAUAAAUGGUGCAGAUUUCCACCACUGACGCUUUGAUUAUGCAGUUUGGGCGUCUACAAACCACUUACUCUCCCCUUCUAAUUAGUUUACAUACAUGAUGUACCUCAUUUCUAGAAGUUUAUAUCCUCUAUAUCUAGACUGAAAAGUAUCCUGAGAUUGACAGCUUAAUUUAUUUCCUCUGAAGAAAAGGUAUUCAGCAUCUUGUUCUUUUGAAUUCUCAAAGUGGAACCGAUACAAAUUGGUGCCUUCGUUCUUGAGAACUAAGUAAGAAAUUCACUUGUUUUUGAAGAAAGUAUUUUCCAUGAAAACCGAAAAAGUCCUUGGAAUUGGGUUUUGGUGACUUUGGAUCGUUCAUGAAUAAAAGUUGGUGUGAUGAGUUGAUAUGUCAUUUUAGUUAAAAUGGAUGGGGUUAAAGAGGAAACACAUAUUCAAGCUAGUUUUGUAACGCCAAGAAUAUACAUAAAUAGAUUUUCAAUAGUAGAUGAGAAGUGCGACCUUUUUAGUUUGAUAUUUUUUUUCAAUAUCGUGUUUUUACAAAUGAAACACAACCUACCUAUGGUGAAAUUGUCAAUUACAUAUUUGAAACUAUGCUAGUGUUUCAUUACUUGCUAAAAUUAUUUUUUUCUUAUUAUUUACCAUCUAUAUCAAGCAAGGAUCUUAACACCUUGAAUUUUUUUUUAACCUAUUAAGUAUUUGAUUCUUUUAGAUCCAAAUCGGUCCUCUUCGUUUCAUGACUCGUGCAGGAGUUAUAUUCUAUGCCCUUGUGUAUAUUAGAUGCAAAUAAUAUUUCAAUGUAAAAAGAAUAGAAUAUGUGCUAUACAUAAUGAAGUGAAAAAAAUCCAACCACUUAGCAAUUAGACUUGAGAGACUACGAAAAUUUGGGUAAAACAUGAAAAUUCUUUUUUUGGUCUAAUAUACAUGUGUCUAUGCACGUAAUAUGGUUUAAUAUUAGGUAAUCAUUGAAAAAGAUAUAUCAUACUAAAAAAAAUAGAGGAGUUGAUAAGACCCCUAUCACCCUGCAUGCUUAAAUAUGUAAUUUGAUAA